UCACCCUGAGACUACACUGGGAGCCGGGAGACCCAGGGCAUGUGUCAUUCCAUCUGAGGAACUGGGUCAUAUCAUGAGCUCUGAUUAGUUCUAAGAAAAUUCAACCCAGCAAGGGCGCUUUGAGCUCUGUUGGUCCCAUGAGGGCGGGAAGAGAGUGUAGGGCCCUGUGAGAUCUUCCCUGUCUGAGACACCUGUGCCCUGGGAAAAUGCAGGCAGCUACGGCGCAGAAUUUCCACACCCUUUCAGUUUAAAGUCUGACCUUAGUGAGUGCUUCAUGCAUUUUAGGGGUUUUCUGCACUCUUCGUGGAGGGGUUUCAGAGUCUGCAGAUGACAUUAGCGGAGCCUUCCACUCCGUGACUCGGGCCAUGUUAGCAAAUUCCUGGCAACUCUGAAAAUUCUCAGUGGUUGGUUUGUGUUUUGACAACAUUGUUUCAGCCGACUGGUCUGGUUUUUAACUGUUGUGCCCCUGUGAGAGUCAGGGCAGCGAAUGAGAACAGGGUCCCGCCAGAGCUGAGUGCCUCUGGGUAUGGGUGAAUGACUCACAAAUCGACACGCUCACCAAUCUAACAUCUAUCAUAAAUUUGACCAGAAAGAAAGUAAAUGUUAAAAACUUCUGGAAGUACAGUUUGACCCUUGAACAAAUGGGUUUGAACUGCAUGGGUCCACUUAUACAUUAUUUUUUUUUUCCCAUAACCCCAGGACAGUACUAUAGAUUUCUUCUCUCUAGCAUACUUAAUUGUAGGAAUGUAGCAUGUAAUAUACACGACGUACAAAAUGUGUGUUAGUUGUGUGUUAUUGAUUAUAACAGUAGGCUGUUAGUGGUUAAGUCUGGCUGGGGGGUAGUCAGAAGUUUUAUGUGGAGUGUUGGCCUUGUAGGGGUCAACAUCUCUAACUCCCACAUUGUUCGAGGGUCAGCUGUAUAUAGAUUGAAAGAACAUCGAGUUAUCUAUUUCAUUGGUGUUUUGGUGUGCUUGAGAAUCAGAGCGAGGGGCGUAUUUUGUGCUGCUAGCAGGAAUGAGGAAUUGAGAAAUCAGGACCAAGUGUUCUUUCUACCCAGUAAUAAAGGGCCUGACUUAGCAAAACAAUGGAGAUCCUGCUUUUGUGCCACCAAGAGUUUUCGUGAUUUGGGUGGGACCUGAAGGAUGCAGAGGGGGAUAUUUCAUGAAACUAAAAAGAACUUUGCUGAAUUAAGAUUUUUUUUGCUCUUGUGUUGGUCACUUGGAUGAGCAGAGUUAGAUCCUGUAUUGUAUGGUUAAACAACUCAGUCUUCCCUGGGCACUCUUGACACAUUAAAGCAAUUUUUUUUUUUUUUUUAAAAGAUAAAAUCUUCAAUGUUCACUUCAGAUUUUCUCAUUUGACACUCUCCUGCACUUUGGGGCUUCAGUUUAACUUUCUAAACAGCUUAAAAGUUAAAUAAGAAGUGAGGUGGGGCACCUGGGUGGAUCAGUGGUUAAGUCUCUGCCUUCGGCUCAGGUCAUGAUCCUAGCGUCGUGGGAUCAAGCCCCACAUCGGGCUCCCUGCUCAGCAGGAAGCCUGCUUCUCCGUCUUCCACUCCCCCUGCUUGUAUUUCUUCUCUCUUUGUCUCUCUGUGUCAAAUAAAUAAAUAGAAUCUUAAAAUAAUAAUAAUAAUAAUAAAGUGAGGCAACAACUCAAAACCAUAGAGAGAUGGGUGGUGUGUGAUGAACUCCUGAGUAGAACUGUCCAGGCAAUGAGGCAUUCACAAAUCGCAGAUAGCAGAAGACCUUGUUUAUGUCUGCUGGUGAAGUGCUGGCCAACUGCUGGUUUUCUGUUGUGAAAUUCUAGGCCCAUUCAUUCAUUCGUUCAUUCAGCAAAUACACAUUGAGCUACUAGGGUGGGUCCCGUGCUGUGCUACAUGGUAGAGAUACAGAAGGGAGCAAACAGGGGUGCCCGGGUGGCUCAGUUGGCUGAGCGUCUGACUCUUGAUCUUGUCAGGUUGAGGAACUGAGCCCUGAGCCAGGCUCUGUGCUCAGGAGUCAGCUAGAGGAUUUUCUCUCUCUACCCGUUCCCCACUGUGCACAUGCAUGUAUGUGUUCUCUCACUCUCUUAAAAAAAAAAAAAAAAAAAAAAGAGGUAAGCAAACAGGCAAGGGCCCUGCCCUCAUGGGGAGUAUAAUCUGGUUGGAGACAGCCAGACAGUGAAUACAUAAACUCAUUAGUAUUUAAUUACAGAUCAUGAUAGCCCUAGGAGAGAAAGCUUAAACCGAGAAGUAAGAAAGAAUAGGGGGAGAGGGGAGCAAUCAAUCUGGGGUGUUAGGAAAGGCUCCCCUGGGGAAGCAGUAUUUGACCUGAGAUCUGAAGAAUGGGGUUUACCCCAAGUGCUUGUUGAAGUAAGACUCCUGCUGGCCCACACUAAGUAGCAUCUUUUAUUUCCAUAAAUAAUUAGUUUGGAGGCUGGAAAUCAGAGCCAAAACACAAUUUAUGCGCGUUUUGCCUCCUGUAUAUCAGGAGAAAGUCAGCAUAUGCUUCCGUGCACGCACAAACACACAUGCGCUUUCUACUUACGCUUUCCCUCAGCCCACUUCGUAGAGGAAUUUUAGAAAAGAAUGUAGGAAAUUUAUCCCUGAUCCCUAGCAGGUCUACCUUUACUUUUUUCAGAAGCUCUUGGGGAGGCUUUCAGAAUAGUGAAACUUCUGAUCACCAGAAGCUUUGAAUGCUCUCUUCCUAAAUGUGACCGUGACUUUCUAAGAAGUCUACAGAGCUCAGGUGACCAUCCCUGAGCUCUCAUUAGCUGGAGUGUCUGCUAGUCCGAAUCAGACUUCAUGUGUGACAUCACAAGUUUGCUCUUUGCCUUGCUGAAUCCUGAUUCCUGGAGCUGCAUCGGGAAAGAGGAAACUUUUCAGCUCACGCUGAUAUCAUCGAUUAGAGAUGGGAUAAUAUGUGUCCUCAAGCAGGACCUGCGGAUUUAGACUGCCUGGGUUGGCGUCCUGGCUUUGCCACUGCCUACCUAUGUGGCCAUGGACAGCUCAUUUCUCUGCGUGAGUUUAAGUCUGGGACAUCGUUGCCUGACACCUGCCAGGUCAGAUAGGUUUUUGGAAUCUGGAAUAUUUCAGAUUUUAGAAAGAUAAUAUGUCACAGGUACUCUGCUUUGCUUAAUGCUACUAGCUGGGUCUGGGGCAAUAUCCUGUUAUCAGACACAUCACGAUUUCUUCAGCAAAGCCUGUGGAUACUCAGACAUACUGGAAUAAAGGAGGUCUGUAGAGUCUUGUUUGAGUCUGGAGAGUCUAUAUUGGGCUGCUGGAUGACUUCCCAAACAUAGCUCAUUUUCAGAGUUAUAGUAUCUCCCUUACAGGUGGCACGUAUGUCUUGGGGAAGAUUCAGUGGGAAGACAUACGUGAAGUGCUGAACCCAGCAGGCAUCCAGCAGGUGUGGACUGUGAUUACAAAGCCUACUUGUUUGUUAUUACGAAGCCAUCGUAGACGGAGUAGAAAUUCAACCUACAUAUCAGUUUCUUCUCUUCUCCCUCCCCGCCAGUGGGCCUUGACUGUGUGCAAGGUACAGUGCUAGGUGCUCCAAGAAGACAGAUGGUGAGCAGACAGGGCCCCUGCCUUGAACUUCAGUCAUGGCACCUACGGCCAUAUACAUAGCCUGCUCUUUGUCCUACUUUUUCCUAGGUAUUUUCCAUGCUGGGCUAUUUGAAUUCUGUUGGAAUCAAACCAUCCCCCAGAUACACUAUCCUGCUUGGUACAUUGUCAGACUGCAUUUUAAAAGGAAAGAGGACAGGAAAUCAUGACAUGUGACCCAUAUAACUGGAAAUGGUUCUCAGGCAGGAAAUUGGAGUGAAACUGUCACGAGAGGAAGUAUAGCUAUGUUGAAUGAGCUCUGAUGGCAGGACUGAGGGCAGGUGUUACUGAGCAACACUCCUGCUGAGCCUAUUCCACGAGCCAGGCACUGCGCUGGGGCCUGAGAUUAUAGAAAUGAAUGUGGCAGUCUCUGUGCAUCCUUUUAAGUGAGCUGUUAUUGGCUCACUUAAAACCGUUACUGGUUCACGGUUUCUGAGUGAGCCAGAAGAAACCAGCCAGCCCUCUGAGCUUAUGUACUUAACUUCAAAACAAAGGACGGAGGGGUACCUGGUUGGCUCAGUGGGUAGAGUGUACGACUCUUGAUCUUGGGGUUGCAAGUUCGAGCCCCACACUGGGUUUAGAGAUUACCUAAAACUAAAAUCUUAGAAAAAGAAAAAAAGAGAAAAAGACUGGAGUAGGUUAUAAGUUUUUUUAAAGCCCCAUUUUACCUUCAAAAUCUGUGGCCCUAAAGAAUGGCUGAACUGGCUUGCUGGUCAACCACGGUCUACCACUCUGGGAUUCAAGUUCAGGAUAGAGACUUUUGUUGCAAUAAGAGAGGCUUCAUGUUCAGGUACACCUUUAGGUACAGAAGGAUUUGUUGGCAGGGAUGACGUGUUGGAACGUGUUUUAUCCAGGUUAUUAUCUCGGCAAACAGGGAUAGUUCAUUUCUCAAAUAAUGAGUAUUGACUAGUUUUAGACCCUGUUUUAGGAGAGGAAAGCCCUUCCGUGGAGCUAGUAUUUCAUUAAAGCACAGAGACAAUAAAAAGUGAUAAAAAUGAAUACAUGAUAUAAUAUCAGAAAGUUGUAAGUAUAAAGAAAAAAAUAUAGAAAAAGGAGAGAGAGUGCGGGUUGAUGAUUGGAGGGCUGUUUUCAGAGUGGUCAGGGAAGACUUCUUGGAGGAGGUGAUACUAGAGCAGAUACCUGAAUUGGGUCAGAGAGAAAAGAAAGCGAGACAGGGAAGGCUGAGAAGGGAAAUUCCAGGCAGGGGUGACCACAAGUGUUAAGGCGGGGAGGUGAGAAAGAGUUGGCAAGUUGAAGGAACAGCCAGGAGGCUUGUGGUGUGCCUGUCCAGGGGGGGAAAGGAAAUGGGAGAGGGGCAGAAGGGAAGCAGACAGAGCCAUGCAGGCUCCUGGAGGGGAGCCCUGGGAAGGACCUUGGAUUUUAUUCCAAGUGUAAGGAGAAGCCAUUGGGAGGUUUUGAGAAGAGAAGUGACAUGAUGGGAUUUUUUUUUUUUUUUUUUUUUAAA